rnacentral:rRNA from 1 species
UGAGGGGGGCUGCUCCUAGUACGAGAGGACCGGAGUGGACGCAUCACUGGUGUUCGGGUUGUCAUGCCAAUGGCACUGCCCGGUAGCUAAAUGCGGAAGAGAUAAGUGCUGAAAGCAUCUAAGCACGAAACUUGCCCCGAGAUGAGUUCUCCCUGAGACUUAGAGUCUCCUGAAGGAACGUUGAAGACGACGACGUUGAUAGGCCGGGUGUGUAAGCGCAGCGAUGCGUUGAGCUAACCGGUACUAAUGAACCGUGAGGCUUAACCUUACAACGCCGAAGCUGUU